GGACUGCCUUUUGCAUAAUGAGCCUGCGAGUUGUGGUGUCUGGCAAGGUUAAGCAAACGCGAAGCCGUAGCGAAAGCGAGUCUGAAUAGGGCGCUUAGUCAGAUGCUGCAGACCCGAAACGAAGUGAUCUAUCCAUGAGCAAGUUGAAGCUAGUGUAAGAACUAGUGGAGGACUGAACCCAUAGGCGUUGAAAAGCCCCGGGAUGACUUGUGGAUAGGGGUGAAAGGCCAAUCAAACUUCGUGAUAGCUGGUUCUCUCCGAAAUAUAUUUAGGUAUAGCGUUGUGUCGUAAUAUAAGGGGGUAGAGCACUGAAUGGGCUAGGGCAUACACCAAUGUACCAAACCCUAUCAAACUCCGAAUACCUUAUAUGUAAUCACAGCAGUCAGGCGGCGAGUGAUAAAAUCCGUCGUCAAGAGGGAAACAACCCAGACUACCAGCUAAGGUCCCUAAAUCUUACUUAAGUGGAAAACGAUGUGAAGUUACUUAAACAACCAGGAGGUUGGCUUAGAAGCAGCCAUCCUUUAAAGAAAGCGUAAUAGCUCACUGGUCUAGUGAUUUUGCGCGGAAAAUAUAACGGGGCUAAAGUAAGUACCGAAGCUGUAGACUUGCGCACAACUUAGAUUAUUUAAGUUUAGAAUAUGAGAAACUAAGUUAUAUGUUUAGUUAUAUUUUUACUGAUUUUUAUAGAGUAAAGAUAGAAAUAAAACUUAGUAAAAUCAGUAAAAAUAUUCUUAGACUAAAGUUAAGUAGUUUAAGUUGUGUGCAAGUGGUAGGAGAGCGUUCUAUUUGCGUCGAAGGUAUACCGGUAAGGAGUGCUGGAGCGAAUAGAAGUGAGCAUGCAGGCAUGAGUAGCGAUAAUUAAUGUGAGAAUCAUUAACGCCGUAAACCCAAGGUUUCCUACGCGAUGCUCGUCAUCGUAGGGUUAGUCGGGUCCUAAGUCGAGUCCGAAAGGGGUAGACGAUGGCAAAUUGGUUAAUAUUCCAAUACCAACAUUAGUGUGCGAUGGAAGGACGCUUAGGGCUAAGGGGGCUAGCGGAUGGAAGUGCUAGUCUAAGGUCGUAGGAGGUUAUACAGGCAAAUCCGUAUAACAAUACUCCGAGAACUGAAAGGCUUUUUGAAGUCUUCGGAUGGAUAGAAGAACCCCUGAUGCCGUCGAGCCAAGAAAAGUUUCUAAGUUUAGCUAAUGUUGCCCGUACCGUAAACCGACACAGGUGGGUGGGAUGAGUAUUCUAAGGCGCGUGGAAGAACUCUCUUUAAGGAACUCUGCAAAAUAGCACCGUA
rnacentral:rRNA from 1 species